UUUUUUUUUUUUUUUUGGGAAGGAAAAUUGAAUGAAUUAAUUGCUCAAAUAUAAAAAGUGGGAAAAAAAGAAAAACAACUCAUUUAGAAUGGGAGCUGCCAAUUGGAGCAGGGUGGUUCUUCUAAUAGCAAUAAAUCACUCAAUCGAUUCUAUCAAUCUGUAUGAAACAUGGCAUUUAGAUGCUGCCAGCUUAUUCACCUG
rnacentral:misc_RNA from 1 species